rnacentral:rRNA from 1 species
GGUGGGCACUCUAAGGAGACUGCCGGUGACAAACCGGAGGAAGGUGGGGAUGACGUCAAGUCAUCAUGGCCCUUACGGCCUGGGCUACACACGUGCUACAAUGGUCGGUACAAAGGGUUGCCAAGCCGCGAGGUGGAGCUAAUCCCAUAAAACCGAUCGUAGUCCGGAUCGCAGUCUGCAACUCGACUGCGUGAAGUCGGAAUCGCUAGUAAUCGCGAAUCAGAAUGUCACGGUGAAUACGUUCCCGGGCCUU